rnacentral:rRNA from 1 species
UCGCCUGUUUAUCAAAAACAUUUCUCUAUGUAAAAUUUAUAGGGUUCGCCCUGCUCCAUGGUUAAUUAAAUAGCCGCAGUACCUUGACUGUGCUAAGGUAGCAUAAUCAUUUGGCUUAUAAUUGAAGUCGGGCAUGAAAGGGUAAAUGGGUAGAUACUGUCUUACCAUAAGUAGUAGAAUUUACUUAAUAAGUGAAAAUUCUUAUUAAAAUAAAUUAGACGAGAAGACCCUAGAAAUUUUUUAAAAAAAACUAAAUGUCUAUUUUGUUGGGGCGACAGGGCAACAAUCAAACUUGCCUAGGUUAAUGGGAACCUGGUUAGGUGUCUAAAUAAAUUACUCUAGGGAUAACAGCAUAAUUCAUAAGAGUUUGUGACCUCGAUGUUGGACUAGGAAAAUUACUAUUUAAAAGAUAGUAAUAAUGGCUCUGUUCGAGCUAAUCUCCUACGUGAUCUG